ACAACUUUUAACAACGGAUCUCUUGGUUCUCGCAUCGAUGAAGAACGUAGCAAAGUGCGAUAACUAGUGUGAAUUGCAUAUUCAGUGAAUCAUCGAGUCUUUGAACGCAUCUUGCGCUCAAUGGUAUUCCAUUGAGCACGCCUGUUUCAGUAUC
rnacentral:rRNA from 1 species